GGCCGAGAAGAUCUGUCUGUCUUCUGUAUAUACCCUGUAGAUCCGAAUUUGUGUAAGGAAUUUUGUGGUCACAAAUUCGUAUCUAGGGGAAUAUGUAGUUGACAUAAACACUCCGCUCAUUUU
rnacentral:precursor_RNA from 14 species